UUUUUCCACCGGAGCUUGCUCCACCGGAAAAAGAAGAGUGGCGAACGGGUGAGUAACACGUGGGUAACCUGCCCAUCAGAAGGGGAUAACACUUGGAAACAGGUGCUAAUACCGUAUAACAAUCGAAACCGCAUGGUUUUGAUUUGAAAGGCGCUUUCGGGUGUCGCUGAUGGAUGGACCCGCGGUGCAUUAGCUAGUUGGUGAGGUAACGGCUCACCAAGGCUACGAUGCAUAGCCGACCUGAGAGGGUGAUCGGCCACAUUGGGACUGAGACACGGCCCAAACUCCUACGGGAGGCAGCAGUAGGGAAUCUUCGGCAAUGGACGAAAGUCUGACCGAGCAACGCCGCGUGAGUGAAGAAGGUUUUCGGAUCGUAAAACUCUGUUGUUAGAGAAGAACAAGGAUGAGAGUAACUGUUCAUCCCUUGACGGUAUCUAACCAGAAAGCCACGGCUAACUACGUGCCAGCAGCCGCGGUAAUACGUAGGUGGCAAGCGUUGUCCGGAUUUAUUGGGCGUAAAGCGAGCGCAGGCGGUUUCUUAAGUCUGAUGUGAAAGCCCCCGGCUCAACCGGGGAGGGUCAUUGGAAACUGGGAGACUUGAGUGCAGAAGAGGAGAGUGGAAUUCCAUGUGUAGCGGUGAAAUGCGUAGAUAUAUGGAGGAACACCAGUGGCGAAGGCGGCUCUCUGGUCUGUAACUGACGCUGAGGCUCGAAAGCGUGGGGAGCAAACAGGAUUAGAUACCCUGGUAGUCCACGCCGUAAACGAUGAGUGCUAAGUGUUGGAGGGUUUCCGCCCUUCAGUGCUGCAGCUAACGCAUUAAGCACUCCGCCUGGGGAGUACGACCGCAAGGUUGAAACUCAAAGGAAUUGACGGGGGCCCGCACAAGCGGUGGAGCAUGUGGUUUAAUUCGAAGCAACGCGAAGAACCUUACCAGGUCUUGACAUCCUUUGACCACUCUAGAGAUAGAGCUUCCCCUUCGGGGGCAAAGUGACAGGUGGUGCAUGGUUGUCGUCAGCUCGUGUCGUGAGAUGUUGGGUUAAGUCCCGCAACGAGCGCAACCCUUAUUGUUAGUUGCCAUCAUUUAGUUGGGCACUCUAGCAAGACUGCCGGUGACAAACCGGAGGAAGGUGGGGAUGACGUCAAAUCAUCAUGCCCCUUAUGACCUGGGCUACACACGUGCUACAAUGGGAAGUACAACGAGUCGCGAAGUCGCGAGGCUAAGCUAAUCUCUUAAAGCUUCUCUCAGUUCGGAUUGUAGGCUGCAACUCGCCUACAUGAAGCCGGAAUCGCUAGUAAUCGCGGAUCAGCACGCCGCGGUGAAUACGUUCCCGGGCCUUGUACACACCGCCCGUCACACCACGAGAGUUUGUAACACCCGAAGUCGGUGAGGUAACCUUUGGAGCCAGC
rnacentral:rRNA from 1 species